rnacentral:rRNA from 1 species
CCUACGGGUGGCAGCAGUGAGGAAUAUUGGUCAAUGGACGAGAGUCUGAACCAGCCAAGUAGCGUGAAGGAUGACUGCCCUAUGGGUUGUAAACUUCUUUUAUAUGGGAGUAAAAUGUUCCACGUGUGGGGUUUUGUGUGUAGCAUAUGAAUAAGGAUCGGGUAACGCCGUGCCAGCGGCCGCGGUAAUACGGAGGAUCCGAGCGUUGUCCGGAUUGAUUGGGUGUAAAGGGAGCGUAGGUGGAUUGUUAAGUCAGUUGUGAAAGUUUGCGGCUCAACCGUAAAAUUGCAGUUGAAACUGGCAGUCUUGAGUACAGUAGAGGUGAGCGGAAUUCGUGGUGUAGCGGUGAAAUGCUUAGAUAUCACGAAGAACUCCGAUUGCGAAGGCAGCUCACUGGACUGCAACUGACACUGAGGCUCGAAAGUGUGGGUAUCAAACAGGAUUAGAUACCCUAGUAGUC